rnacentral:tRNA from 1 species
GCCUGGGUGGCUCAGUCGGUUGAGCUUCUGACUUUGGCUCAGGUCAUGAUCUCAUGGUCUGUGAGUUCGAGCCCCGCGUCGGGCU